rnacentral:rRNA from 1 species
CAAUAGCGUAUAUUAAAGCUGUUGCGGUUAAAAAGCUCGUAGUUGGAUUUCUGUCAAGGACAACUGGUCCGCCCUCCGGGUGAGCACAUAGUUUGGUCUUGGCAUCUUGCUGGAAGCUGUUGCUGCACUUGGCUGUGUGGCGCAGCGUCCAGCACUUUCACUUUGAGGAAAUUGGAGUGUUUCAAGCAGGCACAUGCCUUUGGACACAGUAGCAUGGAAUAAUUAGAUUGGGCUUUUGCUCCAAUUUGUCGGUUUCUGGAGCUGAGGUGAGAAUUAAUGGGGAUUGAUGGGGGCAUCCGAAUUUAGCCGUCAGAGGUGAAAUUCUUGGAUCUGCUAAAGACGGACAACUGCGAAAGCGUUUGCCCAGGAUGUUUUCAUUGA